GCGGCGAUGGCGAAAUUGGUAGACGCACUACUUUGAGGUGGUAGCGCCCGAAAGGGCGUGGGAGUUCGAAUCUCCUUUGCCGCACCG
rnacentral:tRNA from 2 species